rnacentral:rRNA from 1 species
GACGGUCGGCCACCAGGCAUGACGGGUAGCCGGCCUGAGAGGGUGUUCGGCCACACCGGGACUGAGACACGGCCCGGACUCCUACGGGAGGCAGCAGUAGGGAAUCUUGCACAAUGGGCGCAAGCCUGAUGCAGCGAUGCCGCGUGAGGGAUGAAGGCCUUCGGGUUGUAAACCUCUUUCGACAGGGAAGAAGCCACGGGUCACCGUGGUGACGGUACCUGUAGAAGAAGCCCCGGCUAACUACGUGCCAGCAGCCGCGGCCGA